CAGAUCCCUGCGAGCAUUUUCAAAAAAAAUUAUUUUAUACAACAAGGCACAUAUGCAAUACUGACAUAAUCUCAAAUACCACUGAGCAGCUGGGACACAUUCUUGUUGGCCAUACUCGCAGGUAAAAUAAGUAGAUCGUGUGGACAGCUCCAGCUCAUUUUCCUUUAAUCAGUGUGUACAAGGGGUAUGCAGUCAGUCAAGAACUUUAUUGAAGUCCUGAGGAGUUUCAAUCCGUUGCAGAUCCCACGCGGGGAACUCCUCCGGCAGAAACCGUAGGCGACGCCCAAGUCGGGACGGGAACGUGGUGACGCUCCGCCAGUUCUUGGGCCCUCUGGACGGCCUUGAGUUGGAGUUUGAGGUCCGGGCUUUUGAGGGCUUCUUCCCAUUCGGGCUCACUGGAGAGAGGGCUAAAAUAAUUUUUUUCUCGCGCACCGAUUAUUUUGCUGUAUAAGCAAGAGAACCCACCACGUUAGUGCAACGUAUCUUGUACAUCACACUAAUAUGUGCUUUAAUUUACCAAGUGAGAUGAGUUACUUUUAUGGCUCAUUCAGUCAUAUCACACUGCAAGCUGCAUUCAUCAAUCUUCAAUUGGAUUUAGCAAAUGUUUAAUGAAACAUGUUUCCCUUCUAUGCAGAUAUGCAAUGGCAAGCCCUUCCGUGUGUUCCAAAGGUAAAAUUUAAGCUCUAAAUUAAAGAAGACAUUUCUAGUCAGAGACAAGCAAAAUGGUGAAUGCAGGGUAUCAGAAGCCCAAGGUACAGAAAUUAUGAAAAGUGUCGAAUGAUUUUAAGGAAAGAGUCGUAUUUGAAACUGCAAGACUCUUUAGUGGAGGUCAAGCAAGUCAAUAUAGGUAGAAUACUCUGGAAAAUUAUGCGAGUGAGGGGAUGUCAAACAAUGGGUCAGGAAAUACGUUGGUUUUCUGCAAAACAAAAGCUGAUUGCCAUUACAUAAGUCACUUUAGCAUCAUGAGACUGCUGCUUGAUAAAUUCAGAAAUAAACCAAAAAACAAGACCCGCAAAAAUAAAAAACAAUUUAAUGAUGCUCUCUCCACACUGGGAUAAAUAAAAACAAACACAUCACAUCUAAUGUGGACAUAUCCGAUGCUUUGUAAAACACUAAAGGAAAAAUUCAGUUUCGAGCUAUGGCACUUGCCACAUAGAUGUGGGGGGCCUUGCACUAAUAGUGAUAGUUACCACUGCAUUUAGAAAUUGAAAGCAUUCAUGCAGACAAGGAUGAUUCUUUAUAUAUUUGGCUACCACUUCAAAUGCCUCCACCAAGUGUUACAAUGCUACACGCAGCCAUACUAAGGAUGUGGCAGCAACACCUGCAGUUAAAAAGCAGAAGCAGUCAAAGUGCUGGUGUAUUCUGGACACUAGCUUUGAAAACUUUUGGGCAAGGACAGUGCAAGAAGCAGACAUAACAACUGCAUUUAUUUCCAUAAUUCCCCAUUUGAAUGGGCUUUUCUUUUUGCUUAGACAAUGCUUACGCCUAGCCACAGCAGCUCCCUCAUACAGACUCCGCAAGCCAAGGGGCCGUGGAGGCAAAUGCAGACAGCCAGCACACCUCGAACAGCCACCUUGACUGCGGAUGUCACCCUAGUCGCCAAGGAAACAUUUGAGGGAAAGCGACAGGCAAUGUGAACAGCCACUUCUCCAUGUAAACGAUACUCUUUCUCUCGGAUGACUCCUACGCCUCGCCACGCCAGCACACUUGUGCACAAAGAUGCCGCGAAGGCACGUGCAGGUCAUAGGCAAGAAGCAGUGGCACUGGUGUCGACAUUCACCCAAUUUCUUUUUCUUACACUGAGGCAGCCAGCACACCUCGAACAGCCACCUUGACUGCGGGUGUGUCAGUAGAUUCCUGUUGUACAUAUGCUCAUAAUAAACUUCAGUAAACUUGAACUUGAUAAUAAACUUGAUGGCAAAUGGGA